rnacentral:rRNA from 1 species
GACGAACGCUGGCGGCGUGCCUAAUACAUGCAAGUCGAACGCAGUGGGGACGGGUGAGUAACCCGUGGGUAACCUCCCAUCAGAGGGGAUAACACUUGGAAACAGGUGCUAAACCGAUACUGAUGGAUGGCACCGCGGUUCAUUAGCUAGUUGGUGAGGUAACGGCUCACCAAGGCCACGAUGCAUAGCCGACCGGAGAGGGUGAUCGGCCGCAGUGGGACUGAGACACGGCCCAGAAUCCGACGGGAGGCAGAAGUAGGGAAUAUUCGGCAAGGGACGAAAGUCUGACCGAGCAACGCCGCGUGAGUGAAGAAGGUUUUCGGAUCGUAAAACUCUGUUGUUAGAGAAGCGGGAUCUAACCAGAAAGCCACGGCUAACUACGUGCCAGCAGCCGCGGUAAUUC